CCCUUAGACGUUCUGGGCCGCACGCGCGCUACACUGACCAGUGCAACAAGCAUCCGUCCUUGGCCGACAGGCCCGGGCAAUCUUUGAACGCUGGUCGUGAUGGGGAUAGACUUUUGCAAUUUUUGGUCUUCAACGAGGAAUUCCUAGUAAACGCAAGUCAUCAACUUGCAUUGAUUACGUCCCUGCCCUUUGUACACACCGCCCGUCGCACCUACCGAUUGAAUGGUCCGGUGAAGCCUCCGGAUUGGCGCGCACCUCGGUGCCGCCGAGAAGUUGGCCAAACCUUACCAUUUAGAGGAAGGUGAAGUCGUAACA
rnacentral:rRNA from 1 species